CGCGUGGUUCUAUUUUGUUGGUUUUUAGAACCGCCGUAAUGAUUAAUAGGGACAGUCGGGGGCAUCUGUAUUCAAUUGUCAGAGGUGAAAUUCUUGGAUCUAUUGAAGACAAACUACUGCGAAAGCAUUUGCCAAGGAUGUUUUCAUUGAUAAGGAACGAAAGUUAGGGGAUCGAAGACGAUCAGAUACCGUCGUAGUCUUAACUAUAAACUAUGCCGACUAGGGAUCGGACGAUGUUAUUUUUUGACUCGUUCGGCACCUUUCGAGAAAUCAAAGUGCUUGGGCUCCAGGGGGAGUAUGGUCGCAAGGCUGAAACUUAAAGAAAUUGACGGAAGGGCACCACCAGGGGUGGAACCUGCGGCUUAAUUUGACUCAACACGGGGAAACUCACCAGGUCCAGACACAGUGAGGAUUGACAGAUUGAUAGCUCUUUCUUGAUUCUGUGGGUGGUGGUGCAUGGCCGUUCUUAGUUGGUGGAGUGAUUUGUCUGCUUAAUUGCGAUAACGAACGAGACCUUAACCUGCUAAAUAGCCCGUUCUGCUCCGGCAGUACGCUGGCUUCUUAGGGGGACUAUCGGCUCAAGCCGAUGGAAGUUUGAGGCAAUAACAGGUCUGUGAUGCCCUUAGAUGUCCUGGGCCGCACGCGCGUUACACUGACAAAGCCAGCGAGUAUUUCCUUAGCCGGAAGGCUUGGGUAAUCUUGUUAAACUUUGUCGUGC
rnacentral:rRNA from 1 species